UUCAAGAAAUAUAGUUAACUGUAAGUGCUGUAUUUUAAUAAUCUAUCAAAAAUCAAAAUCAUCAGGAUAAUAUUAGGUAUUGAUUUUCAGACAAGAAUUAGAUUACAGUGAUGGUCAAAAGCAUUUAGAUAUUGCUUUGAAAUCUACAGAUAAGGUAUGGCAGUUUCAUUUUAAAGAACAAGAUGUUAAAGUUUGUGAUAAAAUUGUCAUCAGAAAUACUGUCCACUUCAGUAUUUACAUAGGAAAAUAUUGGAGGAUGAAGCUCUACCUACUGCCUCAGAGCAACAACACAAUAAAAAACCAAAAUAUGAACACCAGCAACUAAAACAGGAACCAUUAAAUGAAUAUUACACACAGCAAUAACAGCAUCAAAUAAUGGAAAUAAUGGACCCUACUGCUCAAAUCAAAAACAAAAUUUCAUCAUUACCACUUUAUUGGUUAUAUCAAUAAAAGAAAUUAUUGAGUUUAUGAGUCUAGAUCCUACAAGCAAGCAGAUCUAUCACAUAAUUUAAAAUGAAGAUUUAUCUAUUAUAGUAAUUUAUUCUAAUAAUGAAAAAGAAACUUUGGAUCAAAAAAUAUUUUCUUCUGAUGAGGCUUAUGAAUAUUAAAGUCUGUUGAAGUUUGGCCAUUAUGUGUUGGUAUACAAUUUAUUUAUGAUGUUACAGUAGUUAAACCAUCCGAAUACAAAACAUAUUUAAAAUCCACUAUUCUUAAUGAACCAACUUGAGAGGAAGCUAAGAGAAAGGUUCUAUUGGGUGGACUACAAGAAAAAGGGACAUAUACAUGAGGAUCUGGAAGGGCUAUAACAUUACGUCUCAAGCCAUGGAACAAUAGGAAACGAAAUUCAAAGGAAAAUAUUACAAUACGUGGGAUGCAAAUUAUAGUGCAAAGAAUUGAGAAAAAGAAUUAUUAAAAGUAGUUAUAGUUAUGAUAGUUAAACCAUCCGACUACCAAAUAUAUUUAAAAUCCACUAUUCUGAAUGAAUAGCAACUACCAACUUGGAAGGAAGCUGCGAGAACGAUUCUAUUGGGUGAACUACAAGGAAGACAUGAGCAUCUGGAAGGGCUAUAAAAUUAUAUUAUUAUUUCACGUCCCAAGCCAUGUUGGAAUAGCUGGGAGUGAAAAAGAAGAUAAUACUGCACACGAUUCUUGUCUAGAAGUAGUUGAUACUAAGGUAGUUAAGCCAUCCGACUAUCGAACAUUUAAAAUCCACUAUUCUGAAUGAAUAGCAACUACGAUGGCAAAACGUAAAUAAAUACUUGUACAGUAUAAAAUUAUAUUAUAUUGGCUUAAUUUUUAUACUAAAUAAAAUGUGUUACGUUAUUUUUGA
rnacentral:lncRNA from 1 species